UGGGGAAUAUUGCACAAUGGGCGAAAGCCUGAUGCAGCAACGCCGCGUGAGUGAUGAAGGCCUUCGGGUUGUAAAGCUCUGUCUUUUGGGACGAUAAUGACGGUACCAAAGGAGGAAGCCACGGCUAACUACGUGCCAGCAGCCGCGGUAAUACGUAGGUGGCAAGCGUUGUCCGGAUUUACUGGGCGUAAAGGAUGCGUAGGCGGAUUUUUAAGUGAGAUGUGAAAACCCUAAGCUUAACUUGGGGACUGCAUUUCAUACUGGAAAUCUAGAGUGCGGGAGAGGAGAAUGGAAUUCCUAGUGUAGCGGUGAAAUGCGUAGAGAUUAGGAAGAACACCAGUGGCGAAGGCGAUUCUCUGGACCGUAACUGACGCUGAGGCAUGAAAGCGUGGGUAGCAAACAGGAUUAGAUACCCUGGUAGUCCACGCCGUAAACGAUGAGUACUAGGUGUAGGAGGUAUCGACCCCUUCUGUGCCGCAGUUAACACAAUAAGUACUCCGCCUGGGAAGUACGAUCGCAAGAUUAAAACUCAAA
rnacentral:rRNA from 1 species